AAGGUAGUAGUUUAAUUAAAACAUUAAGUUGCAAUCUUAAAGAUUCCUUCUACCUUU
rnacentral:tRNA from 1 species